rnacentral:rRNA from 1 species
ACUCCUACGGGAGGCAGCAGUGGGGAAUAUUGCACAAUGGGCGCAAGCCUGAUGCAGCCAUGCCGCGUGUGUGAAGAAGGCCUUCGGGUUGUAAAGCACUUUCAGUCGUGAGGAAGGUAGUGUAGUUAAUAGCUGCAUUAUUUGUACGUUAGCGACAGAAGAAGCACCGGCUAACUCCGUGCCAGCAGCCGCGGUAAGUACGGAGGGUGCGAGCGUUAAUCGGAAUUACUGGGCGUAAAGCGCAUGCAGGUGGUUUGUUAAGUCAGAUGUGAAAGCCCGGGGCGUCAACCUCGGAAUAGCAUUUGAAACUGGCAGACUAGAGUACUGUAGAGGGGGUAGGAAUUUCAGGUGUAGCGGUGAAAUGCGUAGAGAUCUGAAGGAUACCGGUGGCGAAGCGGCCCCUGGACAGAUACUGACACUCAGAUGCGAAA